GGGUUGUGAGGUUAAGCGACUAAGCGUACACGGUGGAUGCCCUGGCAGUCAGAGGCGAUGAAGGACGUGCUAAUCUGCGAUAAGCGUCGGUAAGGUGAUAUGAACCGUUAUAACCGGCGAUUUCCGAAUGGGGAAACCCAGUGUGAUUCGUCACACUAUCAUUAACUGAAUCCAUAGGUUAAUGAGGCGAACCGGGGGAACUGAAACAUCUAAGUACCCCGAGGAAAAGAAAUCAACCGAGAUUCCCCCAGUAGCGGCGAGCGAACGGGGAGCAGCCCAGAGCCUGAAUCAGUGUGUGUGUUAGUGGAAGCGUCUGGAAAGGCGCGCGAUACAGGGUGACAGCCCCGUACACAAAAAUGCACAUGCUGUGAGCUCGAUGAGUAGGGCGGGACACGUGGUAUCCUGUCUGAAUAUGGGGGGACCAUCCUCCAAGGCUAAAUACUCCUGACUGACCGAUAGUGAACCAGUACCGUGAGGGAAAGGCGAAAAGAACCCCGGCGAGGGGAGUGAAAAAGAACCUGAAACCGUGUACGUACAAGCAGUGGGAGCACGCUUAGGCGUGUGACUGCGUACCUUUUGUAUAAUGGGUCAGCGACUUAUAUUCUGUAGCAAGGUUAACCGAAUAGGGGAGCCGAAGGGAAACCGAGUCUUAACUGGGCGUUAAGUUGCAGGGUAUAGACCCGAAACCCGGUGAUCUAGCCAUGGGCAGGUUGAAGGUUGGGUAACACUAACUGGAGGACCGAACCGACUAAUGUUGAAAAAUUAGCGGAUGACUUGUGGCUGGGGGUGAAAGGCCAAUCAAACCGGGAGAUAGCUGGUUCUCCCCGAAAGCUAUUUAGGUAGCGCCUCGUGAAUUCAUCUCCGGGGGUAGAGCACUGUUUCGGCAAGGGGGUCAUCCCGACUUACCAACCCGAUGCAAACUGCGAAUACCGGAGAAUGUUAUCACGGGAGACACACGGCGGGUGCUAACGUCCGUCGUGAAGAGGGAAACAACCCAGACCGCCAGCUAAGGUCCCAAAGUCAUGGUUAAGUGGGAAACGAUGUGGGAAGGCCCAGACAGCCAGGAUGUUGGCUUAGAAGCAGCCAUCAUUUAAAGAAAGCGUAAUAGCUCACUGGUCGAGUCGGCCUGCGCGGAAGAUGUAACGGGGCUAAACCAUGCACCGAAGCUGCGGCAGCGACACUGUGUGUUGUUGGGUAGGGGAGCGUUCUGUAAGCCUGUGAAGGUGUGCUGUGAGGCAUGCUGGAGGUAUCAGAAGUGCGAAUGCUGACAUAAGUAACGAUAAAGCGGGUGAAAAGCCCGCUCGCCGGAAGACCAAGGGUUCCUGUCCAACGUUAAUCGGGGCAGGGUGAGUCGACCCCUAAGGCGAGGCCGAAAGGCGUAGUCGAUGGGAAACAGGUUAAUAUUCCUGUACUUGGUGUUACUGCGAAGGGGGGACGGAGAAGGCUAUGUUGGCCGGGCGACGGUUGUCCCGGUUUAAGCGUGUAGGCUGGUUUUCCAGGCAAAUCCGGAAAAUCAAGGCUGAGGCGUGAUGACGAGGCACUACGGUGCUGAAGCAACAAAUGCCCUGCUUCCAGGAAAAGCCUCUAAGCAUCAGGUAACAUCAAAUCGUACCCCAAACCGACACAGGUGGUCAGGUAGAGAAUACCAAGGCGCUUGAGAGAACUCGGGUGAAGGAACUAGGCAAAAUGGUGCCGUAACUUCGGGAGAAGGCACGCUGAUAUGUAGGUGAAGUCCCUUGCGGAUGGAGCUGAAAUCAGUCGAAGAUACCAGCUGGCUGCAACUGUUUAUUAAAAACACAGCACUGUGCAAACACGAAAGUGGACGUAUACGGUGUGACGCCUGCCCGGUGCCGGAAGGUUAAUUGAUGGGGUCAGCGCAAGCGAAGCUCUUGAUCGAAGCCCCGGUAAACGGCGGCCGUAACUAUAACGGUCCUAAGGUAGCGAAAUUCCUUGUCGGGUAAGUUCCGACCUGCACGAAUGGCGUAAUGAUGGCCAGGCUGUCUCCACCCGAGACUCAGUGAAAUUGAACUCGCUGUGAAGAUGCAGUGUACCCGCGGCAAGACGGAAAGACCCCGUGAACCUUUACUAUAGCUUGACACUGAACAUUGAGCCUUGAUGUGUAGGAUAGGUGGGAGGCUUAGAAGUGUGGACGCCAGUCUGCAUGGAGCCGACCUUGAAAUACCACCCUUUAAUGUUUGAUGUUCUAACGUUGACCCGUAAUCCGGGUUGCGGACAGUGUCUGGUGGGUAGUUUGACUGGGGCGGUCUCCUCCUAAAGAGUAACGGAGGAGCACGAAGGUUGGCUAAUCCUGGUCGGACAUCAGGAGGUUAGUGCAAUGGCAUAAGCCAGCUUGACUGCGAGCGUGACGGCGCGAGCAGGUGCGAAAGCAGGUCAUAGUGAUCCGGUGGUUCUGAAUGGAAGGGCCAUCGCUCAACGGAUAAAAGGUACUCCGGGGAUAACAGGCUGAUACCGCCCAAGAGUUCAUAUCGACGGCGGUGUUUGGCACCUCGAUGUCGGCUCAUCACAUCCUGGGGCUGAAGUAGGUCCCAAGGGUAUGGCUGUUCGCCAUUUAAAGUGGUACGCGAGCUGGGUUUAGAACGUCGUGAGACAGUUCGGUCCCUAUCUGCCGUGGGCGCUGGAGAACUGAGGGGGGCUGCUCCUAGUACGAGAGGACCGGAGUGGACGCAUCACUGGUGUUCGGGUUGUCAUGCCAAUGGCACUGCCCGGUAGCUAAAUGCGGAAGAGAUAAGUGCUGAAAGCAUCUAAGCACGAAACUUGCCCCGAGAUGAGUUCUCCCUGACCCUUUAAGGGUCCUGAAGGAACGUUGAAGACGACGACGUUGAUAGGCCGGGUGUGUAAGCGCAGCGAUGCGUUGAGCUAACCGGUACUAAUGAACCGUGAGGCUUAACCUUACAACGCCGAAGGUGUUU
rnacentral:rRNA from 1 species